rnacentral:rRNA from 1 species
CCUACGGGAGGCAGCAGUGAGGAAUAUUGGUCAAUGGGCGCAAGCCUGAACCAGCCAUGCCGCGUGCAGGAUGACUGCCCUAUGGGUUGUAAACUGCUUUUGUACGGGAAGAAACACCUCUACGUGUAGAGGCUUGACGGUACCGUAAGAAUAAGGAUCGGCUAACUCCGUGCCAGCAGCCGCGGUAAUACGGAGGAUCCAAGCGUUAUCCGGAAUCAUUGGGUUUAAAGGGUCCGUAGGCGGCCUUAUAAGUCAGUGGUGAAAUCCGGCAGCUUAACUGUCGAACUGCCAUUGAUACUGUAGGGCUUGAAUUACUGUGAAGUAACUAGAAUAUGUAGUGUAGCGGUGAAAUGCUUAGAUAUUACAUGGAAUACCAAUUGCGAAGGCAGGUUACUAACAUUAUAUUGACGCUGAUGGACGAAAGCGUGGGUAGCGAACAG